AGCGAACGUUAGCGGCGGGCCUAACACAUGCAAGUCGAACGCGAAAGGUCUUCGGACUGAGUAGAGUGGCGCACGGGUGAGUAACACGUAGGUAAUCUACCCUUUGGCGGGGGAGUAACGUUCCGAAAGGAGCGCUAAUACCGCAUAAGACCACGGAGUCUCCGGACGCUGUGGGAAAAGGUGGCCUCUUCUUGAAAGCUACCACCGAAGGAUGAGCCUGCGUCCCAUCAGCUAGUUAGUAAGGUAAUGGCUUACCAAGGCGAAGACGGGUAGGCUGGUUUGAGAGAAUGAUCAGCCACACUGGCACAGGAACACGGGCCGAGACUCCUACGGGAGGGCAGCAGUGAGGAAUAUUGGGCAAUGGGCGAAAGACCUGACCACGCCACGCCGCGUGAGUGAUGAAGGCCC
rnacentral:rRNA from 1 species